GACGAACGCUGGCGGCGUGCUUAACACAUGCAAGUCGAACGAUGAUGCUGGAGCUUGCUCCAGUUGAUCAGUGGCGAACGGGUGAGUAACACGUGAGCAAUCUGCCCUUGACUCUGGGAUAACUGCGGGAAACUGUAGCUAAUACCGGAUACUUUCACCGGAAGGCAUCUUCUGGUGAUGAAAGAAUUUCGGUCAGGGAUGAGCUCGCGGCCUAUCAGCUUGUUGGUGGGGUAACGGCUCACCAAGGCGACGACGGGUAACCGGCCUGAGAGGGUGACCGGUCACACUGGGACUGAGACACGGCCCAGACUCCUACGGGAGGCAGCAGUGGGGAAUAUUGCACAAUGGGCGCAAGCCUGAUGCAGCAACGCCGCGUGAGGGAUGAAGGCCUUCGGGUUGUAAACCUCUUUUAGCAGGGAAGAAGCGAAAGUGACGGUACCUGCAGAAAAAGCACCGGCUAACUACGUGCCAGCAGCCGCGGUAA
rnacentral:rRNA from 1 species